UACGAAGGGGGCUAGCGUUGUUCGGAAUCACUGGGCGUAAAGCGCACGUAGGCGGAUCUUUAAGUCAGGGGUGAAAUCCUGGAGCUCAACUCCAGAACUGCCUUUGAUACUGGGGAUCUCGAGUCCGGAAGAGGUGAGUGGAACUCCGAGUGUAGAGGUGAAAUGCGCAGAUAUCAGGAGGAACACCAGCGGCGAAGGCGGCGCUCUGGGCCGGAACUGACGCUGAGGAGCGAAAGCGUGGGUAGCAAACAGG
rnacentral:rRNA from 1 species